UUUCUUUCCGUCUGGGGUUAAUUUUCAGACAUAGUAAGCUCGUGAAGAGUUGUUGUUGUUGUACUUUUUAUUUAAAUUCUCUAACCCCAUCCCAUAAUAAGCAAAGAAGAAACAGAGAUGAAAAGAAAAGUAAAGGCAAAGCUAGAAAAAAAAGGAAAGUCGAAGGAGAAAGGAGGAAUUGUUAUUUGUUGACCGGAGUCUGCCACCGCUGCUGUCAUACCGAAUUUCUUUAGUAGAAAAGCAUGGUGAAGUUUCCUUGUCAACUUUUUCUUUGGUGGUUACCAACAUUUAAUUCAAAUUUUAUGCUCCAAUUUAAAAUGCUUUUCAUGAUCUUAUUUUCUUGUUUGUGAGUUUAGUGGGUAAUAAUGCUGGAAUAUUUGUUGUUUUCUCUCUAAUUUCUUUGUUGUUGAAACAUUAGUUGGAAGUUCGGGUAAGCUUGAAAGGAGCAAGUUCUAUUUUGCCUAAUGCCCAAAACCUAUUUGUAAAAAUAGCAAAGCAAAAUCUUCAACUAAAUAUAUGUAUUUGUAAUAUUGUCAGACCACCAUUUGUUGAGUACUUAAAGAAUGAAAAUAUACUAAGGGUAGGAAUAACAAGUAGAGCAAAGAGAAAUCGCAUAUUGUAUUAGUCAAACCAAUUCCAUUGAUGAAAAAUGAUAGCUAAAGGGUACAUGCAAGACAUCAAAACUUUAUAAGUUGUUGAACUUUCCUAUUAUGUGACCCUGGGUAAUAGCUGAAAGUUCCAUUUAUUUGUUGUAAGUGGCAAUUGAUAAUUAAGAUAUCUUAGGUGUGGUAUGCUUCAUCCACUUUUUUAAUCAAUUGUAUGAUAGCUUUUAUAAUGAUGAACAGACUCAUUUAAUUUGAAGUGGGAAGAUCUAUCUCGUGGAAGAAACAACUAGAAAAGAUGUUAAAUUUCUCUGAGAUAUAGUAGGCUUGUAUAAGUUAUGGUAGUCCCAUCAGCACCAUCUCCGGUGGAGAGUAGAGAGCAUAGGAAACAGCUGGGUUUAGCAAAAUUUUGCUGGUUGAGUGUGCAUGUUGCAACUAAUUUUCUGAUUCAAACUGAAUGUAGUCUAGAAAAUUGUCCUUUGGAAUUGUUUAUUAAUGUGACAGUUUUGGAUGUCUUUUCUAUCUUUGGGAGUUGUUUUUGUUGGAGAGCUUAGGAAGUUUCCUCUAUUAGUUAUUGUAUGAAAUAACUUGAUCUUCUUCUGUUAAGAUCCUCAUUUUUGUGCAUGAGAGGGUACAAAUCUAUCUAUAAAUCCUGAAGUAUGUGAGUUCCUGUUGGGUUAUUAUGCUUGUAGUAGUACAGCUGAAUACUACUAUAGGCAGUUGAGAACUAGUAGGAGGUAUUUCACUCUUGUUUUAUCACAUCUUACUUUUUAAGUAUAGCUACUCUUUCCACACGGUUAGUCCAUUUUCUAUAACAAAAUUAUACCAUUGGUGGAGAGAAAUUGUCUCUUCCGAGCAUAUGUUGAUCCAAUUACAGGAUAUUCUAAUAACAUUCUGAACGUGUAUGUUGGAUUUCUAUGAAAUUAUAAUUAUUUCUGUAAUCCCCGAACUCCAUUGUUCUUGUUAUUUCUUCAAUUGAAGUUGGAUUUCUAUGAAAUUGAAUCAUUUUCAAGGGAGGUAAAAUUGAAAAGUAAGGUUUCUUCCAUCAUCUAUGUGGAAGCUUAUUGAAAAUCCUCCCAAAAAAGAUGAGAUUAUUUCUGUUUAUUUGGACGAGCGUUGUGAGUUCAACGAGAUUUCCAUUGAUUUGCUAUUGGUAGAAUUUUUUUCACCUCAAUCCUCUUGUUUUAACUUGGCUUUCUUGAUUCCUGAUAAGGAAUGAAAUUAUUUUUCUUUAGGAUAGUUGCACCAGAUGUCAUUUUUCUCAUUCCUGAAUAUUUUCUAGCAAUUUGUGAAUAUGAUCUUUGAUUUGAUUGAGAAAUAGAUAAUAUGUUGGAGUAAUUAUUCAACUGUUUGAUUUGAAACUGUUAAAGAACAUAUUUUGAUAGCACUUUUAUGCAACUUCAAUGUGUAAUUUUGUCUUAUUUUGUACUUUAGCUUCAACUUAAUAUAUAUAUAUAUAUAUAUAUAUAUAUAUAUAUAUGUAUGUAUUACAAUCAAGACAUGAGCGAGAACAUGAUAGAAAAUCAAUUAACAGUUAAUGAACAAAAACAUGGCUAAUUGCCUCCUUAUAUAACUGUUUGUAUAAUGAAGAAAACUGUUAAUGUAUGGUAAAUUUGCACUCCAAUAUUUUUACCUCAACUCAUUCUUUUUUAACUUGGUUUCAUUGGUUCUCAAUGAGGAAUGAAAUUGUUCUCCAUUGGGAUAGUUUCACCAGAUGUCAUUUCUCUCAUUCCUGAAUAUUUUCUAAUGGAUGUAAAUGUAAUCUUUGAUUUUAUUGGGAAAUAGCUAAUAUGUUGGAGCUAUCCAACUGUGAAUAUUUGAAAUCAUUAAGGAAUAGAUUCUGAGAGCACUUUUAUGGAACUUCAGUAUCUACCUUUGUCCUAUUUAGUGAUUUAGCUUCAUUUUAGGAUCUAUAUGAGUUGCAUGCAAGGCAUGAGUGAGAACACGAUACAAUAUUGAAAAGUUAAUGAGCAAAAACUUGACUAAUUGCUUGCUUAGAUAGGUAACUAUUUUCUAUAAUGAAGAAAACUAUUUAUGUAUGUUAAAUUUGCACUUAGAUAACUAGCUACGUGCAUUUGUUUAGCUAUAUGGAUGGUGAAUGGAGAUCUUAGAUUGGGAUUAUUUUGACUACGUAUGUCAUUAUUUGAAUUUGGAAUGGCUUUGUGGAAUUCUUUCUUAAAUUGGGUUUUUUUCUUUUUUUUAUGUCAUUAGUUUGUUUGUUUUUGGUAGCAUUUAGAGUAAUUGCAAGCCAUGAACAUAUGAAGAAUGAAAUUGCAUCUUUUAAUGACUCAAAAGUCAAUACCAUUUCAAUAGGAUCUUAUUGCCUCUUGAGAGUGACAAAUAGACGCUGAAAUACUGAAACUAUUGAUAUAUUCAUAAACAAUUUGAGAAAUUACUGUUAGAAUUGGUAGUCUUAAUAUAGAAGAAGUGGUGUGGCUGACAAUGGGCAAUUACCUACUCCACUGAUAUUGCCCUCUGAGCAAAUUUACUACUAAUUCUUUACAUUUUGUAAGACCACAUGUUUGUUUCCCCAAUCCUGUUUCAUUGUUGAAACAUAAUUCUAGAUUGACUAGAUCAAAACUCAAAUUGAGAAAAUACUGUUAGAAUUGGUAGUCUUAAUAUAGAAGAAGUGGUGUGGUUGAGAGUAGGCAAUUACCUCCUCUGCUGAUAUUGCCCUCUGAACAAAUUUACUACUAAUUCUUUACAUUUUGUAACACCACAUGUUACUCCAGUCCUGUUUCAUUGUUGAAACAUAACUCUAGAUUGACUCGAUUAAAACUCAUUGACCAUGGUAGGACAAGUCACUAUCUGUGUGCAUUCACAAUGGCCGAGUUCAUGACUUUCUUUAGUGUCAUUGACCAAUGUUGUAUAGCUUUUGAGUGUGUGUUUGCCCGUUCCAAAAUCCAAUAAUGUUGUAGAAAGUAGAAAGUUUCUAGGAAGUUUAUCAUAUCGAAUGAGAUAGAGCCUUGACUAUUUCCACAUAGAAGCUAUAAUUUUUGUUCAUCGCCAUGCUGGCUACUUUUUCUUUUCCUUCUAGACCAUGUGAGUAAUUGAUGUAUAGUUGGCUUUGAGAGGUUGUACUGUAUGACUUAACGUUUUUUUCCACCUUUGGCCUCAUGUUUUAAUCUUAUUCUAAUUGGGGAUGACAGGAUCAUUAAUCAGAUUACUUAUUCCAUUUGCACCUAGGAAUAGAGAAUUUAUUCUUUUUUCAUUUCCUUUUUUUCUUAUAUUUAGGAGUUCUAAGCAUAAGUAUAAAUUUGGGUGAGGUAACUUUGAUAGGGAAGUAUGAGUAGGACAAAGCAUAGAAAACAAGGGAUCAAAGGACACAUUAGGGUGAAAAGCAAACAAGGUACAACUGCAGGUUUGCAUUUUUGUUCUAUUGUUAGUAAUUUUCUUGCUCAAGCAAAACACAAUUAUGUGAACAGAGUCUGCUAAGUUUUUUUUUUUUGGUGGUUGAGUUUACAUCAUCUUGGAAAUUAAAACUACAUAAACUCAUAUAGACCUUGGACUUGGAGCUCUGGUAAUUGUGUAUUUGACCUUAGGAAUUCGAUAGGUAUCUGAACAAAGAGGCAAAAUAAUUGGUUAUAUGCUAUCACUUAGUUAAUUGAUAUCCUCAAAAUUGAUUAUUUUGUAACCUUUUCUUUGAAUGACUUCUUUCUUCCUUUUGAUUCCGGCUGAUCACUUUUAACUAGUCUUCUUUUUGGUUAAUGUUCUAACAAGCAAUACCUAAGUUUGUCCUACCUCCUUUUUGUAUAAUUAUUGAGCUUAGGAGUCUUCUGAUGUGCAUAACAGGUGAAGGAGAAUAUGAGGUAGAAGCAGAUGUAGUUUCUAAAACUGCCAGUGACAAUCAAGAUUUAGUAGUCUAGGUUUGACCACAAGGGAGAUAAAUAGUGGCUAGCUCAUGUAGGAUCAAUUUCGUGUUGAUUAAGUUUUUACCGCCAUACAUUGUGAAAAUGAGAUGACAUUUUGUUCUUCUCAGUAAGACUAUUUAGUACUUCAAGGAUCUGAUUACUAAUGUCGAUUGAACUUAGAAGAGGUGAUUGAGGAGAUGAACAAUGCCAUAAUCACUAAUUAGUAAUUUUAGUUUCAAAUACUCGAUAGUUAUCAAGUACUUUUAUAACAUAGUUUAUGGCCGUAGUAGUGCUGAUAGAACUCUCUAUGAUUUGAUUUUGAUUAAAUAGGAUCUGGGCACCCUCGCCCAUUUUUUUUCCGAGUAACGAUAACAAUUGACUAGACCAAAGGGGUGCUUUGGCACCACUCUUGAAUUUUUUUCGCUGCAGGUGAGAUUUGAACUCCCACCUAUAAUCCAAGAAGGGACUUAGGUGGCAUUUGGUUCACACCUUGGAAUCAGAUUUGGAUUCGGGAUCAUUCAUUCUGGAUUUGGAAUGAGAUGAAUCAUUCCAAUAUAUUGUGCUUGGUACAAAAUCCAUUGGAAUGGGACUCAAAAUUAAUUUUUUGUUUUCCUUGAGCACUUUUUUGGUUUUUCAUUCUCCAAUCACCAAUCAACAGCAUAAACUCCCAAAUAGAAGAUUUGGCAAGUUCGUCUUUACCUUUCUCCUUGCCAAUAGUUGGCACUUGGAACAUAAGAGUAGAAAAAUCCAAAAAUUAUCCUAGGAACCAAAUAGCAAUUUCCGUCCUCCAUCGAGAUUCAAUCUCCAGCAGCCCCAAUAUUGUCCACCUAGUGCCACAACUCAUUGUUGCUAUGAGCCAUCACUUUGAUUUCACAAGGAGAAGGAAGAAGUCAAUUGGGGUAAGGAUUGGGGAUGACUUGACAGUGAGUGAGGAGAAGUGGUGUCUUGAAGGGAAGACUGGUCAAUAUUAAAGGUGGAUGGAGGACGAGAAAUCUGAGGGAGAAGGGGCCUACUAGAGUUGAGAAGAGAGGGGAAUUUUUGGAGGAGAGAAGGAAUGGGCUUACUGGGGGUGAAGGGGGGGAGGUUUUGCCUUCCAUGGAAGAGAGAGGCGGGGGAAGAGAGGAAAGGGAGGAGGAAGGAGACAGUCAGAGAUGAGAGAAGGGAAGGUGAUCGAUCAAAAACAAGGUUUAAUAAAACUUAUUUUGGAAUCAGAUAGAGGAUUUGACAAAACCUCCCAACUUGCUCGGGAUUGAAAGUUACCAAGUUUUUAGAAAUCAUUUCAAAAUUUCAAACCCCAUACCUAUUUGCCAAACAUAAAAAUUGGACAUGAUUCCAAAUCUUAAUUUUCAUACCCUUAAACCAAACGCCACCUUAAAUCUCUUUUUUAUGGCCACUAAACCAAGUUCAGUGGUUCACCCUCGCUUAUUGAGCGAGUGUGAGAGCCCGUAAUUUUUCCAUUUUAGGGUUUUAUUAUAUUCAAUGGCUUGUUUUCUGCACUUUCUGUAUCCGGAAAAUUUUCUAGAUAAUUUUUAUGAGCAGAUAUAGUUUUUAGAUGAUUUUUCUAGUAUCGAAUAGGUUUUGAGAAAUUAAGAGCGUAUACCGGACGUGGGACCACUAGUGUGAAAAGUUCGGAAAAAUUCGGCCAACUAGGUUAAGUUUUGGAUACUGGAAUUAAUUUAUCGGGUGUUAAGAAAUAAUUAGAGGAUACUAAGUGGAUUGGUAUAAGAGAGACAAUUUAGGUAAGCAUUUAAUAAAAAGGUGACAAGUGUCACCAUGUGAUUGCUUCUUACAAUAAGACUACUAUUCACCUUUUCUAUUUGACCAAAUAAAGCACAAAAUUAACCAAAAUUUCUCCAUUUUCUCUCCUCUAGUGGCCGGCCCUCUCUCUCAAAAAGAAAGAAAGAAACUCUUCAAGUUUUGCUUCCAUUUAGCUCAAAACCAUCCAACCAACCAUUGAAACUUGAAAUUUCUCCAUAAAACCUCUUCAAUUAGUGUUAAGGAGUUGAUUUGUGGAGUUAUUUGGAAAGCUAAGAGGACCUAUUGCUCCCUCUCUCUUGUUUCUAAGGUGAGUUGAGAAGAACCAUUCUCCUCCCUCUAAUGAUGCUUAAUUUGUGAUUUGUGGUAGUAUAAGGUGCGAUAUUAUGGAUUACAUCUUGAUUUGUGGUUGAAUUAGUGAAGUUUUCUAUUUAUUGGUGAUUUUUCUGUUUUAAUAUGAACAUGAUUGUGUGGCUAUCUAUGAUGAUUGGAAAUGGUAUAUAAUGACUGUAGGAGGUGGAAAAAGUGGGUAAUUACAAUCAAUUUCUGUUUGGAAGAAAAAUUGACAAGUUAGGGUUUUUAUGAAUAACAUUCUGCCCGGUUUUAUAUCUCCUAGUUAGAGGCCGAAUUGGCCUUGGCUUAAAACAUGAAAGUUGUAGGGAAUGACAUUUUAGAGGUGUCUACAAAAUUUCAGGUCAAUCGGAAUAGCGUAGAAUGAAAAAAGUCGAAAUUACCCUUGCUGUCCUGGUUUUACCCGAAUGUAAGAAUUGCGCCUGUAAUUGGGUGUUUUGGCUGGAAUUUCUUCGGAAUUUGUUGUUGAGACCUUCUGAUGAAAUGUAGCCCUAUUUCUUAGCUUUCAGUUGGUUUUGGAAUUUCAGGAUUUGGACUUGGAUAGCCUGAUUUAUGAUGUUUCCGCUAGAAUACGUUCUGUGAAUCUGUUUUACGGUUUUUGUGUAGUAUCUUGCAUUUUUUACAUGGUUGCACUCAAAAUUGGGUUGAGUGACCUUCUGUAAUGUUGUAGCCCUGUCUUUUAGCUUCGAAAUGGUGUAUUGUACACCUUUAUCCGGUAAUCGUAGUGCCUUGGGUGCCAUUACCGCAAAAAGAGGUCAAAAACUAUUUUUUUCAGGGCAAAGCUAAAUCCAUUUCCGGAUUUUCUGGUUUCCCCUACUGCUUGUAUAUGCUUAUGGAACCCUAUUGGGGUCGUGUUUGGCAUUGAUUUAUGACUCGUUAUCGAGUCUCAUUGUACUUGUUUGCAUGUUUUAGGGCGUGACGGUGGUUCACGACGUUCUUUUGACGGAAGUGCAUGAAACACCAUUUGCAAGCUUGGUGAGUGUACUACUCACUUGUGUGUUACUAUAUAGCUUUGAUACUUGAACUUGAUGAGUUGAAUGUUCAUUGAUUGAAGUGAGAGCGUACUUUAUCACUCUCACUUAUUGUUUAUCAUGUUACAUGAAAUGUUACAUGAAAUGAGAGCGUACUUUAUCACUCUCACUUAUUGUUUAUCAUGUUAUUGGAAUGUUACAUGAAAUGAAAAUACUUGACUUGGUGUCGAUUGGACGAGUAUCCAACGACUACAAUUGUUAUCAUUGAAUUCAACCCCAUUGGUAGUUGAUUGAAUCGAGCCAGCGAGGGCUUGGUCGUGCCAAUUAAUGAUCCUUGGGAAAAAGUUAUAAGGAAUCUUGUAGUAUGAGAGACUCUCGAUUCCGGUAUACUCGAGUAAUACCACAGUGCAAGUGUUUGGAAUUCGGGUCCGGUAGGGGGAUGUUAGGUGGAUGGAAUGGAAGUAAAGUGGAGUCUACGGUUGGUUACUUUCGAACAUUGACGGAGAGUCAAUGAGAUCCAAUCAAGAAUGCAAACGAGGAAAAAGGGCUCUUGAGAGCCACCCGUAUCCUUUUAUCCUCAUUAUUGACGUGUGCCUUGGCUUACUUUUGAUGAAUUGAAAUGAAAAACUUUAUGUCUAUGUGAACUCUGUUGCUUGGGUAGUAUUCUCAUUGGGCAAUUAGCUCACUCUAUUCCUUUUGUUUUCCUUACAGGAAAAUAACUACUUUUGGACUGCAAUUGAUAAUUGAUUGCCGAAAUGAGCUAGUUGGACAUAUCUUUUGUAUAGCUCAUUUAUUGAAACCCUAAAUGUACUUUUGGGUCUGUUUCUCUUUUGAUUUGGCAAACCAUAUAUGUAUCCACUUUUGAAUACUUUUGUAUGCAAUUUUGGAUUGUAAAUACUAAAGUUCAAGAUGUGAACGUUUGCUUGGUA
rnacentral:lncRNA from 1 species